rnacentral:tRNA from 1 species
GGGCCUAUAGCUCAGCGGUAGAGCCACCGGCUCAUAACCGGUUGGUCCUUGGUUCGAUCCCACGUGGGCCCACCA